UACGUAGGGACCAAGCGUUGUUCGGAUUUACUGGGCGUAAAGGGCGCGUAGGCGGCAAUUCAAGUCAGCUGUGAAAUCUCCGGGCUUAACUCGGAACGGUCAGCUGAUACUGCUUUGCUAGAGUGCAGAAGGGGCAAUCGGAAUUCUUGGUGUAGCGGUGAAAUGCGUAGAUAUCAAGAGGAACACCUGAGGUGAAGACGGGUUGCUGGGCUGACACGUGACGCUGAGGCGACGAAAGCUAGGGUAGCAAACGGG
rnacentral:rRNA from 1 species